rnacentral:rRNA from 1 species
GGGCGCACGGUGGAUGCCUUGACACUAGGAGUCGAUGAAGGACGGGACUAACGCCGAUAUGCUUCGGGGAGCUGUAAGUAAGCUUUGAUCCGAAGAUUUCCGAAUGGGGAAACCCACCAUACGUAAUGGUAUGGUAUCCUUAUCUGAAUACAUAGGGUAAGGAAGACAGACCCAGGGAACUGAAACAUCUAAGUACCUGGAGGAAGAGAAAGCAAAUGCGAUUUCAUGAGUAGCGGCGAGCGAAACGGAACAUAGCCCAAACCAAGAGGCUUGCCUCUUGGGGUUGUAGGACAUUCUAUACGGAGUUACAAAGGAACGAGGUAGACGAAGCGACCUGGAAAGGUCCGUCGUAGAGGGUAACAACCCCGUAGUCGAAACUUCGUUCUCUCUUGAAUGUAUCCUGAGUACGGCGGAACACGUGAAAUUCCGUCGGAAUCUGGGAGGACCAUCUCCCAAGGCUAAAUACUCCCUAGUGAUCGAUAGUGAACCAGUACCGUGAGGGAAAGGUGAAAAGCACCCCGGAAGGGGAGUGAAAGAGAUCCUGAAACCGUGUGCCUACAAAUAGUCAGAGCCCGUUAACGGGUGAUGGCGUGCCUUUUGUAGAAUGAACCGGCGAGUUACGAUCCCGUGCGAGGUUAAGCUGAAGAGGCGGAGCCGCAGCGAAAGCGAGUCUGAAUAGGGCGUUUAGUACGUGGUCGUAGACCCGAAACCAGGUGAUCUACCCAUGUCCAGGGUGAAGUUCAGGUAACACUGAAUGGAGGCCCGAACCCACGCACGUUGAAAAGUGCGGGGAUGAGGUGUGGGUAGCGGAGAAAUUCCAAUCGAACCUGGAGAUAGCUGGUUCUCCCCGAAAUAGCUUUAGGGCUAGCCUUAAGUGUAAGAGUCUUGGAGGUAGAGCACUGAUUGGACUAGGGGUCCUCAUCGGAUUACCGAAUUCAGUCAAACUCCGAAUGCCAAUGACUUAUCCUUAGGAGUCAGACUGCGAGUGAUAAGAUCCGUAGUCAAAAGGGAAACAGCCCAGACCGCCAGCUAAGGUCCCAAAGUGUGUAUUAAGUGGAAAAGGAUGUGGAGUUGCUUAGACAACUAGGAUGUUGGCUUAGAAGCAGCCACCAUUUAAAGAGUGCGUAAUAGCUCACUAGUCGAGUGACUCUGCGCCGAAAAUGUACCGGGGCUAAAUACACCACCGAAGCUGCGGAUUGAUACCGAAUGGUAUCAGUGGUAGGGGAGCGUUCUAAGGACAGUGAAGUCAGACCGGAAGGACUGGUGGAGUGCUUAGAAGUGAGAAUGCCGGUAUGAGUAGCGAAAGACGGGUGAGAAUCCCGUCCACCGAAUGCCUAAGGUUUCCUGAGGAAGGCUCGUCCGCUCAGGGUUAGUCAGGACCUAAGCCGAGGCCGACAGGCGUAGGCGAUGGACAACAGGUUGAUAUUCCUGUACCACCUCUUUAUCGUUUGAGCAAUGGAGGGACGCAGAAGGAUAGAAGAAGCGUGCGAUUGGUUGUGCACGUCCAAGCAGUUAGGCUGAUAAGUAGGCAAAUCCGCUUAUCGUAAAGGCUGAGCUGUGAUGGGGAAGCUCCUUAUGGAGCGAAGUCUUUGAUUCCCCGCUGCCAAGAAAAGCUUCUAGCGAGAUAAAAGGUGCCUGUACCGCAAACCGACACAGGUAGGCGAGGAGAGAAUCCUAAGGUGUGCGAGAGAACUCUGGUUAAGGAACUCGGCAAAAUGACCCCGUAACUUCGGGAGAAGGGGUGCUUUCUUAACGGAAAGCCGCAGUGAAUAGGCCCAAGCGACUGUUUAGCAAAAACACAGCUCUCUGCGAAGCCGUAAGGCGAAGUAUAGGGGGUGACACCUGCCCGGUGCUGGAAGGUUAAGGAGAGGGGUUAGCGUAAGCGAAGCUCUGAACUGAAGCCCCAGUAAACGGCGGCCGUAACUAUAACGGUCCUAAGGUAGCGAAAUUCCUUGUCGGGUAAGUUCCGACCCGCACGAAAGGUGUAACGAUUUGGGCACUGUCUCAACCAGAGACUCGGUGAAAUUAUAGUACCUGUGAAGAUGCAGGUUACCCGCGACAGGACGGAAAGACCCCGUGGAGCUUUACUGUAGCCUGAUAUUGAAUUUUGGUACAGUUUGUACAGGAUAGGCGGGAGCCUUUGAAACCGGAGCGCUAGCUUCGGUGGAGGCGCUGGUGGGAUACCGCCCUGACUGUAUUGAAAUUCUAACCUACGGGUCUUAUCGACCCGGGAGACAGUGUCAGGUGGGCAGUUUGACUGGGGCGGUCGCCUCCUAAAGUGUAACGGAGGCGCCCAAAGGUUCCCUCAGAAUGGUUGGAAAUCAUUCGUAGAGUGCAAAGGCAUAAGGGAGCUUGACUGCGAGACCUACAAGUCGAGCAGGGACGAAAGUCGGGCUUAGUGAUCCGGUGGUUCCGCAUGGAAGGGCCAUCGCUCAACGGAUAAAAGCUACCCCGGGGAUAACAGGCUUAUCUCCCCCAAGAGUCCACAUCGACGGGGAGGUUUGGCACCUCGAUGUCGGCUCAUCGCAUCCUGGGGCUGUAGUCGGUCCCAAGGGUUGGGCUGUUCGCCCAUUAAAGCGGUACGCGAGCUGGGUUCAGAACGUCGUGAGACAGUUCGGUCCCUAUCCGUCGUGGGCGUAGGAAAUUUGAGAGGAGCUGUCCUUAGUACGAGAGGACCGGGAUGGACGCACCGCUGGUGUACCAGUUGUUCUGCCAAGGGCAUAGCUGGGUAGCUAUGUGCGGAAGGGAUAAGUGCUGAAAGCAUCUAAGCAUGAAGCCCCCCUCAAGAUGAGAUUUCCCAUAGCGUAAGCUAGUAAGAUCCCUGAAAGAUGAUCAGGUUGAUAGGUUCGAGGUGGAAGCAUGGUGACAUGUGGAGCUGACGAAUACUAAUAGAUCGAGGACUUAACCAU